AGAGUUUGAUCAUGGCUCAGAUCGAACGCUGGCGGCAUGGCUAAAACAUGCAAGUCGAACGCGAAAGUUUCUUCGGAGACGAGUAGAGUGGCGAACGGGCGAGUAAGGCGUUUCUAACGUACCCCUAGGCGAGGGAUAGCUCGAGGAAACUCGGGGUAAUACCUCAUAAUCUCACAUGAUCGUAUGUUCGUGUGAGCAAAGGCUUGCCACCAAGGGAUCGGGAAACGUGGUAUCAGGUAGUUGGUGGGGUAAAAGCCUACCAAGCCUAAGACGCCUAGCGGGUGUGAGAGCAUGACCCGCCGCAUCGGAACUGAGACACUGUCCGGACUCCUACGGGAGGCUGCAGUAACGAAUCUUCCGCAAUGAGCGAAAGCUUGACGGAGCAAUGCCGCGUGUAGGAUGAAGCCUUUCGGGGUGUAAACUACUGUCAGGAACUAGGAAACAAAUGACCAAUUCCAAAGGAAGGGCCGGCUAACUUCGUGCCAGCAGCCGCGGUAAUACGAAGGGCCCGAGCGUUGCGCGGAAUCACUGGGCUUAAAGGGUGUGUAGGCGGAAAUAUCAGUGUCUUGUGAAAGCCCACGGCUCAACCGUGGAAUUGCAGGGCAUACUGUAUUUCUUGAGUGUGGUAGAGGCUGUCGGAACUAUAGGUGUAGCGGUGAAAUGCGUAGAUAUCUAUAGGAACAUCGAAGACGAAGGUAGGCAGCUGGGCCAUUACUGACGCUGAGACACGAAAGCGUGGGGAGCAAACAGGAUUAGAUACCCUGGUAGUCCACGCCGUAAACGAUGUACACUAGGUUCGGGGGGCUCUGACGCCUUCCGGGCCGCAGAAAAAUCAUUAAGUGUACCGCCUGGGGAGUACGGUCGCAAGAUUAAAACUCAAAGGAAUUGACGGGGGCUACACAAGCGGUGGAGCAUGUGGCUUAAUUCGAGGCAACGCGAAGAACCUUAUCCAGGGUUUGACAUGCACGGAUUAGGUCCUGGAAACAGGGCUAACACUCUUUCAGUGGAACAUACACAGGUGCUGCAUGGCUGUCGUCAGCUCGUGCUGUGAAGUGUCGGGUUAAGUCCCUUAACGAGCGAAACCCCUAUCGUUAGUUGCCAGCGGGUAAUGUCGGGGACUCUAACGAGACUGCCGGUGUCAAACCGGAGGAAGGUGGGGAUGACGUCAAGUCCUCAUGGCCUUUAUGCCCUGGGCUGCACACGUGCUACAAUGCGGCGUACAAAGCGAAGCAAUACCGCAAGGUGGAGCAAAUCGCAGAAAGCGCCGCCCAGUUCGGAUUGUGGUCUGCAACUCGACCACAUGAAGUUGGAAUCGCUAGUAAUCGCGUAUCAGCUACGACGCGGUGAAUACGUUCCUGAGCCUUGUACACACCGCCCGUAA
rnacentral:rRNA from 1 species